AUUGAACGCUGGCGGCGUGGCUAAAACAUGCAAGUCAGGGAUAGCCCCGCAAGGGGUGAAACCGGCGGAAGGGUGAGUAACACAUUCGAACGUGCCCCAAGGUGGGGGAUAGGUCGGGGAAACCUGGCGUAAUACCCCAUGUGCUCGUGAGAGGAAAGCCGCAAGGCGCCUCGGGAGCGGCGAAUGUCCUAUCAGGUAGUUGGCGGGGUAAUGGCCCACCAAGCCGUUGACGGGUAGCAGGUGUGAGAGCACGGCCUGCCACAUCGGGACUGAGACACUGCCCGGACUCCUACGGGAGGCUGCAGUAACGAAUAUUCCGCAAUGCGCGAAAGCGUGACGGAGCGACGCCGCGUGCAGGAUGAAGCGGCUUUGCCGUGUAAACUGCUGUCAGAGGUUACUAACACUGAAGU
rnacentral:rRNA from 1 species